rnacentral:lncRNA from 13 species
UCUGAUCAGUUUGGGUUCCAGUCUGUCUCCUACAGAGUCUCUCCUCCUGAUAGUGAUGAUCAGCCUGGGUUCCAGUCUGUCUCCUACAGAGUCUCUCCUCCUGAUAGUGAUGAUCAGCCUGGGUUCCAGUCUGUCUCUUACCGAGUCUCUCCUCCUGACAGUGCUGAUCAGCCUGGGUUCCAGUCUGUCUCCUACAGAGUCUAUCCUCCUGAUCUGAUCAGCCUGUGUUCCAGUCUGUCUCCUACAGAGUCUCUCCUCCUGAUAGUGAUGAUCAGCCUGGGUUCCAGUCUGUCUCCUACAGAGUCUCUCCUCCUGAUAGUGAUGAUCAGCCUGGGUUCCAGUCUGUCUCUUACCGAGUCUCUCCUCCUGACAGUGCUGAUCAGCCUGGGUUCCAGUCUGUCUCCUACAGAGUCUAUCCUCCUGAUCUGAUCAGCCUGUGUUCCAGUCUGUCUCCUACAGAGUCUCUCCUCCUGAUAGUGAUGAUCAGCCUGGGUUCCAGUCUUUCUCCUACAGAGUCUCUCCUCCAGAUAGUGUCAGGAAGAUAAGGAGUCAGACAGAGAGGCAGACAGUCAGACAGGUAGAAGGGAGGUAGACAGGCAGGCAGACAGACAGACAGACAGACAGAUAGACAGGCAGACAGGGAGACAGGUAGACAGUCAGGUAGACAGGUAAACAGGCAGUCAAGGAGGUAGACAGACAGGCAGGCAGGUAGACAGGCAAGGAGACAGACAGGUGGGCAGGCAGGCAGGCAAGCAGACAGACAGGUAGACAGGCAGAACAGUUUAGAGGGUAGAAACCUAGAUGUGGAGCGCACUACUAUUUAUCUCAAUUUGUUUCACUGAUUGCUCUCUUUGAUUAGGUCCUUGGACCACUUAACUGAUAAAGAUAACACAUUUAAAAACCCAACACUCAAUAACUUCCAUUUUGUGUCAAAGUUUGCAGGACAUUCGUCAAACAAAGCUUCCAAUAAUUAGCAGUGUUCUGCUGCUUGUAUUCGGCUGAUAGUAAUUGCCCAGUGAUAGGUGGAGAAGAGCAUUGUGAUUGGGACUGGGACUGGGGAGAACUGCUGUACAUACACACAUCAAAUCAGAGUAUAUUGGUUGCAUACACAGUUUAGCAGGUUUUUAUAGCAAGGAGCAAAGUUACUAGCUCCUAACAAUGCAGUAAAAUGUGAAACAAUUCAAAUGUAAGGGGAAAAAAAGACACAAAGUCAAGUACGGCGUGACGAAUUUGAUUAACAAUCCAAAUAGCAGUGUAGCAGUAAUCAAAUGCAAUCUACACUUCUGAAGUGCUGCUCAGAACAGAUUCAAUGAAGAGCACAAGACCCAAGACACUGCCCUGAAGCAUGCCACCUAAAGACCCACAGUGUCCUUCAGAAGCAUGCCACUUAAAGACCCACAGUGUC